CUUGCCCGCUGGCGGCAGGCCUAACACAUGCAAGUCGAGCGGAUGAAGGGAGCUUGCUCCUGGAUUCAGCGGCGGACGGGUGAGUAAUGCCUAGGAAUCUGCCUGGUAGUGGGGGAUAACGUCCGGAAACGGGCGCUAAUACCGCAUACGACCUGAGGUAGAAAGUGGGGGAUCUUCGGACCUCACGCUAUCAGAUGAGCCUAGGUCGGAUUAGCUAGUUGGUGGGGUAAAGGCCUACCAAGGCGACGAUCCGUAACUGGUCUGAGAGGAUGAUCAGUCACACUGGAACUGAGACACGGUCCAGACUCCUACGGGAGGCAGCAGUGGGGAAUAUUGGACAAUGGGCGAAAGCCUGAUCCAGCCAUGCCGCGUGUGUGAAGAAGGUCUUCGGAUUGUAAAGCACUUUAAGUUGGGAGGAAGGGCAGUAAGUUAAUACCUUGCUGUUUUGACGUUACCAACAGAAUAAGCACCGGCUAACUUCGUG
rnacentral:rRNA from 1 species